AACGCUGGCGGCGUGCUUAACACAUGCAAGUCGAACGGAAAGGCCCUGCUUUUGUGGGGUGCUCGAGUGGCGAACGGGUGAGUAACACGUGAGUAACCUGCCCUUGACUUUGGGAUAACUUCAGGAAACUGGGGCUAAUACCGGAUAGGAGCUCCUGCUGCAUGGUGGGGGUUGGAAAGUUUCGGCGGUUGGGGAUGGACUCGCGGCUUAUCAGCUUGUUGGUGGGGUAGUGGCUUACCAAGGCUUUGACGGGUAGCCGGCCUGAGAGGGUGACCGGCCACAUUGGGACUGAGAUACGGCCCAGACUCCUACGGGAGGCAGCAGUGGGGAAUAUUGCACAAUGGGCGGAAGCCUGAUGCAGCAACGCCGCGUGCGGGAUGACGGCCUUCGGGUUGUAAACCGCUUUCGCCUGUGACGAAGCGUGAGUGACGGUAAUGGGUAAAGAAGCACCGGCUAACUACGUGCCAGCAGCCGCGGUGAUACGUAGGGUGCGAGCGUUGUCCGGAUUUAUUGGGCGUAAAGGGCUCGUAGGUGGUUGAUCGCGUCGGAAGUGUAAUCUUGGGGCUUAACCCUGAGCGUGCUUUCGAUACGGGUUGACUUGAGGAAGGUAGGGGAGAAUGGAAUUCCUGGUGGAGCGGUGGAAUGCGCAGAUAUCAGGAGGAACACCAGUGGCGAAGGCGGUUCUCUGGGCCUUUCCUGACGCUGAGGAGCGAAAGCGUGGGGAGCGAACAGGCUUAGAUACCCUGGUAGUCCACGCUGUAAACGGUGGGUACUAGGUGUGGGGUCCAUUCCACGGGUUCCGUGCCGUAGCUAACGCUUUAAGUACCCCGCCUGGGGAGUACGGCCGCAAGGCUAAAACUCAAAGGAAUUGACGGGGCCCCGCACAAGCGGCGGAGCAUGCGGAUUAAUUCGAUGCAACGCGUAGAACCUUACCUGGGUUUGACAUGGAUCGGGAGUGCUCAGAGAUGGGUGUGCCUCUUUUGGGGUCGGUUCACAGGUGGUGCAUGGCUGUCGUCAGCUCGUGUCGUGAGAUGUUGGGUUAAGUCCCGCAACGAGCGCAACCCUUGUUCACUGUUGCCAGCACGUUAUGGUGGGGACUCAGUGGAGACCGCCGGGGUCAACUCGGAGGAAGGUGGGGAUGACGUCAAGUCAUCAUGCCCCUUAUGUCCAGGGCUUCACGCAUGCUACAAUGGCUGGUACAGAGAGUGGCGAGCCUGUGAGGGUGAGCGAAUCUCGGAAAGCCGGUCUCAGUUCGGAUUGGGGUCUGCAACUCGACCUCAUGAAGUCGGAGUCGCUAGUAAUCGCAGAUCAGCAACGCUGCGGUGAAUACGUUCCCGGGGCUUGUACACACCGCCCGUCAAGUCAUGAAAGUUGGUAACACCCGAAGCCGGUGGCCUAACCGUUGUGGGGGAGCCGUCGAAGGUGGGACUGGUGAUUAGGACUAAGU
rnacentral:rRNA from 1 species